rnacentral:rRNA from 1 species
AAGCUCGUAGUUGAAUUUCGGGAUCAGACUGUCGGUCGUGCCUCGGUACGCACUGGCAUUAUUGGUUCCUACCUUCUGAAGAACCGCGAUGUCAUUAAUUUGGUGUCGCGGGGAAUCAGGACUGUUACUUUGAAAAAACUUAGAGUGUUUAAAGCAGGCUUACGCUUGAAUACAUUAGCAUGGAAUAAUGAAAUAGGACGUUUGAUUCUAUUUUGUUGGUUUCUAGGAUCGACGUAAUGAUUAAUAGGGAUAGUUGGG